rnacentral:rRNA from 1 species
UACGGGGGGGGUAAGCGUUGUUCGGAAUUACUGGGCGUAAAGGGCUCGUAGGCGGCCAACUAAGUCGGACGUGAAAUCCCUCAGCUUAACUGGGGAACUGCGUCCGAUACUGGAUGGCUUGGAUUUGGGAGAGGGAUGCGGAAUUCCAGGUGUAGCGGUGAAAUGCGUAGAUAUCUGGAGGAACACCGGUGGCGAAGGCGGCUUUCUGGUCUGUAACUGACGCUGAGGCGCGAAAGCGUGGGGAGCAAACAGG